GUGCCUUGGGUUGCUGUUUCAUUACAGAUAUCGAUUUUUUUCAGAAUUUACGGCCAUGCUUUUAAUUAUAGUAACGGAGCUUCUAAACUGUAUUCUUACUAUUUUUUGUGUGAUUGCCGUCCGUUUGAACUUGCGCAAAUUGUUAAUAGUGUAUUUGACAUGUGAAAUAUUUUGCGUUUUUGCAAAUACAACUUUGGCCUUAGCAAUUGUAGGCGCUAAAAUAUCCGAUGGAAUUUAUUCUCUAGAUUAUAAUAAUAUUUUCUAUGAUUUUUGGCUUAAUAUCAGCCUCCUGGCAUCAUUCUUUACUAUUUUCAUUGCUUGUCAGAUAUACGUCUGCGUUAUGGUAAGCAACAAAUUAUCAUCAAUGCCACAAAAAGAAGUCUUUGACAAUAACGAAAAUCAAUGCCUUCAAGAUAUUAACGUCAUGACAAAAGA